CCUUAGAGCAAGCUUGUGCAACCCACAGCCUGCAGGCCACAUGUGACCCAGGACAGCUCUGAAUGUGGCCCAACAUAAAUUCAUAAACUUCCUUAAAACAUUAUAAAAAAUUUUUAUUUGCAAUUAUUUUUUAAA